UGACUGCGAUGAUGCGGAAGGUUGCCGACACACCCGGCCGCUUUGCCAUGGCGAGUGUGUGGGAAAUUUUCGCGGAGAAUGUCUAUUUUAAAAUAGGCGAAAA
rfam:Bacillus sp. SA2-6 scf7180000001096, whole genome shotgun sequence.